AGGACUAACGCUGGCGGCGUGCCUAACACAUGCAAGUCGAACGGGGUAGCAAUACCCAGUGGCAGACGGGUGAGUAACACGUGGUCAACCUACCUCUAUGUGGGGGAUAACUAGCCGAAAGGUUAGCUAAUACCGCAUACGAUCGCUUUGGGGCAUCCCUAGGCGAUGAAAGGAGCAAUCCGCAUAGAGAGGGGACUGCGUCCCAUUAGUUAGUUGGUGGGGUAACGGCCUACCAAGACUCCGAUGGGUAGCUGGCUUGAGAGAGCGACCAGCCACACUGGAACUGAGACACGGUCCAGACUCCUAUGGGAGGCAGCAGUGAGGAAUUUUCCGCAAUGGGCGAAAGCCUGACGGAGCGACGCCGCGUGUGGGAAGAAGGCCUUCGGGUCGUAAACCACUGUCGAAGGGACGAUAAUGACGGUACCUUGGAGGAAGCCCCGGCUAACUACGCGCCAGCAGCCGC
rnacentral:rRNA from 1 species